rnacentral:rRNA from 1 species
AAAUUACCAUUCCGACACGGGGAGGUAGUGACGAAAAAUAACAAUACAGGACUCUAACGAGGCCCUGUAAUUGGAAUGAGUACAUCCUAAAACUCUUAACGAGUAUCAUUGGAGGGCAAGUCUGGUGCCAGCAGCCGCGGUAAUUCCAGCUCCAACAGUGUAUGCUAAAGUUGUUGCGGUUGAAAAGCUCGUAGUUGGAUUUUGGGCGAGCGCCGCCGGUCCGUCGCAAGGCGUGUCACUGGUUGCGUUCGCCUCACCUUCGGUUCUCCGUCGGUGCUCUUGACUGAGUGUCGGCGGUGGCCGAUAAGUUUACUUUGAAAAAAUUAGAGUGUUCAAAGCAGGCUGUUCGCCUGCAUAGUGUUGCAUGGAAUAAUGGAAUAGGACCUCGGUUCUAUUUUGUUGGUUUUCGGAGCACGAGGUAAUGAUUAAGAGGGACAGACGGGGGCGUCCGUACUCUGCCGUUAGAGGUGAAAUUCUUGGAUCGGCGGAAGACGAACUACUGCGAAAGCAUUCGCCAAGAAUGUUUUCUUUAAUCAAGAGCGAAAGUCAGAGGUUCGAAGACGAUCAGAUACCGUCCUAGUUCUGACUAUAAACGAUGCCAACUAGCGAUCGGGAGGCGUUACCAUGACGACCUUUCCGGCAGCUUCCGGGAAACCAAAGUCUUUGGGUUCCGGGGGAAGUAUGGUUGCAAAGCUGAAACUUAAAGGAAUUGACGGAAGGGCACCACCAGGAGUGGAGCCUGCGGCUUAAUUUGACUCAACACGGGGAAACUCACCCGGCCCGGACACAGGUAGGAUUGACAGAUGAGAG